rnacentral:rRNA from 1 species
GUAGGUGGCAAGCGUUGUCCGGAAUUAUUGGGCGUAAAGCGCGCGCAGGCGGUCCUUUAAGUCUGAUGUGAAAGCCCUCGGCUCAACCGUGGAGGGUCAUUGGAAACUGGGGGACUUGAGUACAGAAGAGGAAAGCGGAAUUCCGAGUGUAGCGGUGAAAUGCGUAGAGAUUUGGAGGAACACCAGUGGCGAAGGCGGCUUUCUGGUCUGUAACUGACGCUGAGGCGCGAAAGCGUGGGGAGCAAACAGGAUUAGAUACCCUGGUAGUCCACGCCGUAAACGAUGAGUGCUAAGUGUUAGGGGGUUUCCCGCCCCCUUAGUGCUGCAGCUAACGCAUUAAGCACUCCGCCUGGGGAGUACGGCCGCAAGGCUG